GGACGCGGAAGAACUGGCCCAGCGGAGGUUCCCGCUUCUGAAGCGUGGGAGGCGGAAGAGACUGCAGCCCCCGCCCCCGUCCCCAAGCCUCCGCCCCUUAGCCCCCGCCCCCAGCUGCCAGUCCCCAGCAGCUCAGUCCUGCAGUGAGAGUCUUGGGAGUCCAUAGCUAAGCACCAGGAGCUGAGCACUGCCCGCUGUGCCUGCCUGCAAGUCUGACAUGGCUCAGGAGAAAAUGGAGCUGGACCUUGAGCCUGACACAUCUUAUGGGGGAACCCUGAGGAGAUCCAGCAGCGCUCCCCUAAUCCAUGGGCUCAGUGACCUUUCACAGGUUUUCCAACCUUACACACUUAGAACUCGGAGGAAUAGUACAACAAUUAUGAGCCGUCACAGCCUGUUGCUGUCAUCCUCACCUAAUCGUAUUCCUAGUAGCAGACUGCAUCAGAUCAAAAGGGAAGAAGGCCUGGAUAUGGUGAACAGAGAAACUGCACAUGAAAGGGAAAUGCAAACGGCAAUGCAGAUAAGCCAAUCAUGGGAUGAGAGCUUGAGCCUGAGUGACAGUGAUUUUGACAAGCCGGAGAAAUUAUAUUCUCCUAAGAGAAUUGACUUCACUCCAGUUUCUCCAGCACCUUCACCCACCAGGGGAUUCGGAAAGAUGUUCGUGAGCAGCAGUGGAUUGCCACCAAGUCCAGUUCCCAGUCCAAGACGAUUUUCAAGCAGGAGAAGUCAGAGUCCAGUCAAGUGCAUUAGACCCAGUGUUCUUGGUCCUCUUAAAAGAAAAGGUGAAAUGGAGACAGAAAGUCAGCCCAAGAGACUCUUCCAAGGCACUACCAAUAUGUUAUCUCCAGAUGCCGCGCAACUGUCUGAUCUCAGUUCAUGUUCAGAUAUUUUGGAUGGCAGUAGUAGCAGCAGUGGCUUAUCCUCAGACCCGCUGGCUAAAGGCAGCGCUACCGCAGAGUCUCCAGUAGCAUGCUCCAAUUCAUGCUCUUCGUUCAUCUUGAUGGAUGAUCUCUCACCCAAGUGACUUAACCAUUUCUGAUUCAACGUUUUAACUGCUGUUUC
rnacentral:lncRNA from 1 species